UACGGCAGUGCAGAGGAUUCAAUGCUAAAGUAGAGAAGCGUCUGAGGGAGACGGUGCAGUUUGGGGUUGAGGGGAGCAGCACGUUCCUGGAGUGCCAGCCAAGAUCUCCGCAGGCCUCCGUCAAAUGGCUCCACCAGAAGGACGGCAAGCGAAAAGCACUCAGUCGAGACAAAGAUGUCUUGAAGACUGGUCAUGGCAUCCUGCUGAAGUCUCUCACCCAAUUGGAUGCCGGCCUUUACCACUGCCUGGCAACCGAGAACAACUUCAAACACACAGUGGCACGCAUCUCCUUACGG